rnacentral:rRNA from 1 species
UUGAAAAGAACUCUGAAUAGAGAGUUAAACAGUACGUGAAACUGCUUAGAGGUUAAGCCCGAUGAACCUGAAUAUCCGUUAUGGAAAAUUCAUCAUUAAAAUUGUAAUAUUUAAAUAAUAUUAUGAGAAUAGUGUGCAUUUUUUCCAUAUAAGGACAUUGUAAUCUAUUAGCAUAUACCAAAUUUAUCAUAAAAUAUAACUUAUAGUUUAUUCCAAUUAAUUGCUUGCAUUUUAACACAGAAUAAAUGUUAUUAAUUUGAUAAAGUGCUGAUAGAUUUAUAUGAUUACAGUGCGUUAAUUUUUCGGAAUUAUAUAAUGGCAUAAUUAUCAUUGAUUUUUGGUGUUUAUUAUAUGCACUUGUAUGAUUAACAAUGCGAAAGAUUCAGGAUACCUUCGGGACCCGUCUUGAAACACGGACCAAGGAGUCUAACAUAUGUGCAAGUUAUUGGGAUAUAAACCUAAUAGCGUAAUUAACUUGACUAAUAAUGGGAUUAGUUUUUUAGCUAUUUAUAGCUAAUUAACACAAUCCCGGGCGUUCUAUAUAGUUAUGUAUAAUGUAUAUUUAUAUUAUUUAUGCCUCUAACUGGAACGUACCUUGAGCAUAUAUGCUGUGACCCGAAAGAUGGUGAACUAUACUUGAUCAGGUUGAAGUCAGGGGAAACCCUGAUGGAAGACCGAAACAGUUCUGACGUGCAAAUCGAUUGUCAGAAUUGAGUAUAGGGGCGAAAGACCAAUCGAACCAUCUAGUAGCUGGUUCUUCCGAAGUUUCCCUCAGGAUAGCUGGUGCAUUUUAAUAUUAUAUAAAAUAAUCUUAUCUGGUAAAGCGAAUGAUUAGAGGCCUUAGGGUCGAAACGAUCUUAACCUAUUCUCAAACUUUAAAUGGGUAAGAACCUUAACUUUCUUGAUAUGAAGUUCAAGGUUAUGAUAUAAUGUGCCCAGUGGGCCACUUUUGGUAAGCAGAACUGGCGCUGUGGGAUGAACCAAACGUAAUGUUACGGUGCCCAAAUUAACAACUCAUGCAGAUACCAUGAAAGGCGUUGGUUGCUUAAAACAGCAGGACGGUGAUCAUGGAAGUCGAAAUCCGCUAAGGAGUGUGUAACAACUCACCUGCCGAAGCAACUAGCCCUUAAAAUGGAUGGCGCUUAAGUUGUAUACCUAUACAUUACCGCUAAAGUAGAUGAUUUAUAUUACUUGUGAUAUAAAUUUUGAAACUUUAGUGAGUAGGAAGGUACAAUGGUAUGCGUAGAAGUGUUUGGCGUAAGCCUGCAUGGAGCUGCCAUUGGUACAGAUCUUGGUGGUAGUAGCAAAUAAUCGAAUGAGACCUUGGAGGACUGAAGUGGAGAAGGGUUUCGUGUGAACAGUGGUUGAUCACGAGUUAGUCGGUCCUAAGUUCAAGGCGAAAGCCGAAAAUUUUCAAGUAAAACAAAAAUGCCUAACUAUAUAAACAAAGCGAAUUAUAAUACACUUGAAUAAUUUUGAACGAAAGGGAAUACGGUUCCAAUUCCGUAACCUGUUGAGUAUCCGUUUGUUAUUAAAUAUGGGCCUCGUGCUCAUCCUGGCAACAGGAACGACCAUAAAGAAGCCGUCGAGAGAUAUCGGAAGAGUUUUCUUUUCUGUUUUAUAGCCGUACUACCAUGGAAGUCUUUCGCAGAGAGAUAUGGUAGAUGGGCUAGAAGAGCAUGACAUAUACUGUUGUGUCGAUAUUUUCUCCUCGGACCUUGAAAAUUUAUGGUGGGGACACGCAAACUUCUCAACAGGCCCGUACCAAUAUCCGCAGCUGGUCUCCAAGGUGAAGAGUCUCUAGUCGAUAGAAUAAUGUAGGUAAGGGAAGUCGGCAAAUUAGAUCCGUAACUUCGGGAUAAGGAUUGGCUCUGAAGAUUGAGAUAGUCGGGCUUGAUUGGGAAACAAUAACAUGGUUUAUGUGCUCGUUCUGGGUAAAUAGAGUUUCUAGCAUUUAUGUUAGUUACUUGUUCCCCGGAUAGUUUAGUUACGUAGCCAAUUGUGGAACUUUCUUGCUAAAAUUUUUAAGAAUACUAUUUGGGUUAAACCAAUUAGUUCUUAUUAAUUAUAACGAUUAUCAAUUAACAAUCAAUUCAGAACUGGCACGGACUUGGGGAAUCCGACUGUCUAAUUAAAACAAAGCAUUGUGAUGGCCCUAGCGGGUGUUGACACAAUGUGAUUUCUGCCCAGUGCUCUGAAUGUCAAAGUGAAGAAAUUCAAGUAAGCGCGGGUCAACGGCGGGAGUAACUAUGACUCUCUUAAGGGGAUCAUGGGUAUUUGAGAGCAGAGGGGGAGUAUUCUUCUGUAAUUCGUAAGUCAUAUCAUAUGGUGUGCGGAAGGGGAAUUUUACUCUGUAACUCACAAGUCUCUCCUUUACUCAAGUCGACUCAAAACCUCCUCGUGGUGGUCCCCGGUAAUGCUAAACUCGUUUAGCAGCUAAUUUGAGCGGCAAAACUUUUCCGAUGGGCUGGUUCCCCAGAGGAAAUUUAUUCAUAUUGGAACUACAAGCACAAAUAACGAGCCUCGGAUACCUUUACACAAUCUGAUGACGACCCGACCCUCCGUGGAUAUCUUCCCGGAGGACCAAUAUGAACCAAACGCAGCGGCUACUCUAUCUAGGGUUCCCUGCACAGUAUGUGGCCGGUCCUUUAACAGCAAGAGAGGACUCGGUGUUCACAUGCGAUCUCGGCACCCAGACGAACUUGAUGAAGAACGUCGACGUGUCGAUAUAAAGGCAAGAUGGAGUGAUGAAGAGAAGUGGAUGAUGGCGAGAAAGGAGGUUGAGCUCACAGCAAAUGGAUGUAAACACAUAAACAAGCAACUAGCGGUGUAUUUUGCAAACCGCAGCGUCGAAGCCAUCAAA